GAUGAACGCUGGCGGCGUGCUUAACACAUGCAAGUCGAACGGUGAACACGGAGCUUGCUCUGUGGGAUCAGUGGCGAACGGGUGAGUAACACGUGAGCAACCUGCCCCUGACUCUGGGAUAAGCGCUGGAAACGGCGUCUAAUACUGGAUAUGUGACGUGACCGCAUGGUCUGCGUUUGGAAAGAUUUUUCGGUUGGGGAUGGGCUCGCGGCCUAUCAGCUUGUUGGUGAGGUAAUGGCUCACCAAGGCGUCGACGGGUAGCCGGCCUGAGAGGGUGACCGGCCACACGGGGAUUGAGACACGGCCCAGACUCCUACGGGAGGCAGCAGUGGGGAAUAUUGCACAAUGGGCGAAAGCCUGAUGCAGCAACGCCGCGUGAGGGAUGACGGCCUUCGGGUUGUAAACCUUUUUUAGCAGGGAAGAAGCGAAAGUGACGGUACCUGCAGAAAAAGCGCCGGCUAACUACGUG
rnacentral:rRNA from 1 species